AUUGAACGCUGGCGGCAGGCUUAACACAUGCAAGUCGAGCGAGCGGCGGACGGGUGAGUAAUGUCUGGGAAACUGCCUGAUGGAGGGGGAUAACUCCUGGCAACGGUAGCUAAUACCGCAUACCAUCCGGUGUGCCCAGAUGGGAUUAGCUAGUAGGUGGGGUAAUGGCUCACCUAGGCGCCGAUCCCUAGCUGGUCUGCGAGGAUGACCAGCCACACUGGAACUGAGACACGGUCCAGAGUCCUACGGGAGGCAGGAGUGGGGAAUAUUGCACAAUGGGCGCAAGCCUGAUGCAGCCAGGCCGCGGGUGUGAAGAAGGCCUUCGGGUUGUAAAGCACUUGCAGCGAGGAGGCGUUACUCGCAGAAGAAGCACCGGCUAACUCCGUGCCAGCAGCCGCGGUAAGUC
rnacentral:rRNA from 1 species